rnacentral:misc_RNA from 1 species
GAUGAAGAACGCAGCGAAAUGCGAUACUUGGUGUGAAUUGCAGAAUCCCGUGAACCAUCGAGUCUUUGAACGCAAGUUGCGCCUCAAGCCAUUAGGUUGAGGGCACGUCUGCCUGGGCGUCACAUAUCGUUGCCUGAUGCCAGUUUCCUCGUGAUGGGUGACUGUGCAGGGCGAAUGAUGGCUUCCCGUGAGCAUUGUUGCCUCAUGGUUGGUUGAAAAUUGAGUCCUUGGUAGGGAGCGCCGUGAUAGAUGGUGGUUGAGUGACGAACGAGACCCAAUCAUGUGGGACCCCUACCGAAUUUGGCCUUCAUGACCCACAUGCGUCUUUGGAACGCUCAUGACGAGACCUCAGGUCAGGCGGGGCUACCCGCUGAGUUUAAGCAUAUCAAUAAGCGGAGGA